GAAUCAUCAGAGGCGAAACGGUUUGCUGUUGCCGGAGACCUGUUCGCACUUGACGGAGUUCCAACAUCAAUCAACAUUCGUACAUCAUCACCAAUAUAUUCGAACAUCAUCAAUAGAUUGAUAUAUACGUAGAUAUACCAAUAGAUUCAUAUAUUUAUUUAUAUAUAUAUAUAUAUAUUGCUGGGGAGAAGGGUUAGGGUUUGAGUUGUUUCACAUACAUGAUGAUGAUGGAUGAUCACUCGAAUCAUCAGAGGCGAAACGGUUUGCUGUUGCCGGAGACCUGUUCGCACUUGACGGAGUUCCAACAUCAAUCAACAUUCGUACAUCAUCACCAAUAUAUUCGAACAUCAUCAAUAGAUUGAUAUAUACGUAGAUAUACCAAUAGAUUCAUAUAUUUAUUUAUAUAUAUAUAUAUAUAUUGCUGGGGAGAAGGGUUAGGGUUUGAGUUGUUUCACAUACAUGAUGAUGAUGGAUGAUCACUCGAAUCAUCAGAGGCGAAACGGUUUGCUGUUGCCGGAGACCUGUUCGCACUUGACGGAGUUCCAACAUCAAUCAACAUUCGUACAUCAUCACCAAUAUAUUCGAACAUCAUCAAUAGAUUGAUAUAUACGUAGAUAUACCAAUAGAUUCAUAUAUUUAUUUAUAUAUAUAUAUAUAUAUUGCUGGGGAGAAGGGUUAGGGUUUGAGUUGUUUCACAUACAUGAUGAUGAUGGAUGAUCACUCGAAUCAUCAGAGGCGAAACGGUUUGCUGUUGCCGGAGACCUGUUCGCACUUGACGGAGUUCCAACAUCAAUCAACAUUCGUACAUCAUCACCAAUAUAUUCGAACAUCAUCAAUAGAUUGAUACAUACAUACACCAAUAGAUUCAUAUAUUUAUUGGUAUAUCUAUGUAUAUUAUGAAGGGUACUGUGUGCUGGGUUUUGUUCUUGGUGACUGGGACGGCUUUGAUGUUUCUUUGUCUCUCCAGAGAAAGAAACACCUCCUCUGUUCCUGUAUUUUGACAGUUAAAUUAAGGGCAGUUACACAACGUCGGGUACGCAGAUUGGGAUCCAAAACCCAGAUCAUCGCCGCUCAAAAAACCCCAAUCUGGGACGACUCUGUCGACCGACUAUCCCUAUCCUUCGACGGCGAACCGGUCCUCCUCUCUGCCAUCUCCGGCGCCACCUGUCGGCCCGCCGCCGUCUUCGGUGUCUCCAUUACCAGAUCUGAUGUUCAACUGCGAUCCGAUCUGAUGUUUAAUGAAUAUGGUGUUUGAAACAUAUGAACACCAACCCAAAAUUAUUGAAUCUUAUGUUUACCAUUUUGGGUUGGUGUUACAUUAGGUUAAUGAAUAUGAUGAUUGAAAUCUGAUGUUUAAAUGAAUCUGAUUUUUUGGUGUUUAUGUUUAAAUGAAUCUGAUGUGUAAUUUUUCACGAUGUUUUGUUUAUGAUGUUCUAACAUUGGUGUUCCAUGUUACGGAAUAAUGAGCACAGUGCGAAAUCGAAAUCGAUCAUUCCGUAACUGUGUACGCGAUGUAGUUGAUGUUCAUGUUGAUUAUGUUCACAAUGUUUGAUGAUGUUUGAUGAAUAA